CAGCCGCCGCGGUAAUACAGAGGGUGCGAGCGUUAAUCGGAUUUACUGGGCGUAAAGCGUGCGUAGGCGGCUUUUUAAGUCGGAUGUGAAAUCCCUGAGCUUAACUUAGGAAUUGCAUUCGAUACUGGGAAGCUAGAGUAUGGGAGAGGAUGGUAGAAUUCCAGGUGUAGCGGUGAAAUGCGUAGAGAUCUGGAGGAAUACCGAUGGCGAAGGCAGCCAUCUGGCCUAAUACUGACGCUGAGGUACGAAAGCAUAAGGAGCAAACAGGAUUAGAUACCCGGGUAGUCCCUGUCUCUUAUAA
rnacentral:rRNA from 1 species